rnacentral:rRNA from 1 species
UGGCGCCGUAGCGCGGUGGUCCCACCUGACCCCAUGCCGAACUCAGAAGUGAAACGCCGUAGCGCCGAUGGUAGUGUGGGGUCUCCCCAUGCGAGAGUAGGGAACUGCCAGGCA